UACGUAGGGUGCGAGCGUUAAUCGGAAUUACUGGGCGUAAAGUGUGCGCAGGCGGCCGCGCAAGUCGAGUGUGAAAGCCCCGGGCUUAACUUGGGAAUUGCGCUCGAAACUACGUGGCUGGAGUGUGGCAGAGGAAGGUGGAAUUCCAGGUGUAGCGGUGAAAUGCGUAGAUAUCUGGAGGAGCACCGGUGGCGAAGGCGGCAUCCUGGACCGAUACUGACGCUGAGGAGCGAAAGCCAGGGGAGCAAACGGG
rnacentral:rRNA from 1 species